rnacentral:rRNA from 1 species
CAGUAGCCGCGGUAAUACGUAGGUGGCAAGCGUUGUCCGGAAUUAUUGGGCGUAAAGGGCUCGCAGGCGGUUUCUUAAGUCUGAUGUGAAAGCCCCCGGCUCAACCGGGGAGGGUCAUUGGAAACUGGGAAACUUGAGUGCAGAAGAGGAGAGUGGAAUUCCACGUGUAGCGGUGAAAUGCGUAGAGAUGUGGAGGAACACCAGUGGCCAAGGCGACUCUCUGGUCUGUAACUGACGCUGAGGAGCGAAAGCGUGGGGAGCGAACAGGAUUAGAUACCCCCGUAGUCCCUGUCUCUUAUAC